rnacentral:rRNA from 1 species
AACGAACGCUGGCGGCGUGCCUAACACAUGCAAGUCGAACGUGAUUAGAGAGCUUGCUCUCUAUGAAAGUGGCGCACGGGUGAGUAACGCGUAGAUAAUCUACCUGAUGAUUCGGGAUAACACUUCGAAAGGGGUGCUAAUACCGAAUAAGCCCACGGAGUCCUUGGACUCUGCGGGAAAAGGGGGGGACCUUCGGGCCUUCCGUCAUCAGAUGAGUCUGCGUACCAUUAGCUAGUUGGUAGGGUAUAGGCCUACCAAGGCGACGAUGGUUAGCUGGUCCGAGAGGAUGAUCAGCCACACUGGAACUGAGACACGGUCCAGACUCCUACGGGAGGCAGCAGUGGGGAAUUUUGCGCAAUGGGGGAAACCCUGACGCAGCAACGCCGCGUGAGUGAUGAAGGCCCUUGGGUCGUAAAGCUCUGACAGAGGGAAAGAAAUGCAGGGGAGCUAAUAUCUCCCUUGCUUGACUGUACCCUCAAAGGAAGCACCGGCUAACUCCGUGCCAGCCGCCGCGGUAA